UCUCCAGCUUCUUCUCCCAUAUAUGCACACAACUUAAUAAACCUAAUUUCACUACAGACCUCAAUUUCAUUUUUCGCUUCUAUAAUUGUCUCGACCUCACAUUAUGACAAACUGAACCCAGUCUCAUCUCAUGCCUUAAUUUUAUUUUCCACAUUUUUGACUAUCUCGAUCUCGUGUCAUGAAGAGCAAAGCCAAAUCCAACCACAACCCUCCAUCUCAUCGUUCGCAUCUGUAACGACAUCAACCUUGCAGAUGAUGUAUGUUGUCUUUUUUGGAGCAACUGACAUCUUCGACAUUGAGCCGAGUAAGCCAAGUUCUUUCUUAAAUUUUAAACAUUGUUGAAACUAUGAUCUUUUUUUCUUUUCUUUUUUUAUGAUCUAUUUGGUCAAAAUUAAUAAAAAUAUAGAUAGUUACACCUAACUAAAAUAGCAUAACUAAAAACCUUUUGUUCUACAGUCACACAAAUAAAUAGCGAAAGGUAAGUAAUUUUAUCUGAAUUCUAGUUUGCCAAAAAGUCUACUUUAAUUUAAAUUUCACCCUCGGUGAAAUAACCAUGCCCUGAAAUAAAAAAAAAAAAAGAUACAGAAAAAAAACUUAUCUAACAUAUAAAUCAGUUUGAGUCAAUUAUCCAACCUUUUAAAUUUUUGAUUUUACUGCUUUAUAUUUUUAUUUGUUUAAUUUUUAAGCUAAUUGCUUUAACAAAUUUAUAGUUACGAAAAUUACGUGACCUAGGUUAACUAAGUCGAUGAAAAUAAACAGCACAUAUAAAUUUUAAGAUUAAAAUAUCAUUAAUAGACUCAAAUUAAAAAAAUUAAAAUUUUAAAAUUGAAUAGUUAACUAAAAAUGGUUUAUAGUUUAUGUAAAUGACGCACAGGUUUACCAAAAAUAAUAAUAAUAAGGGUUAAUUGCAUACAGGUCCCCGCAAAUAUAAUAAAUUAUAAAUAUAUCCCUAUAAAGUUUAACUUUCAUAAGUUAUUCCUCAUAAAGUCUUAAUAUUUUCAGAUAUGUCCCUCUAAUUUGUUACGGUUAAAGAACUAUUAGAAAACUGUUUAUAUUUUCAAUUUUGCUAUCACAAAUAUGUCCCUCCAAAAAUUAUAACAGUAUAAUAUAAGAGGGAUAAAAAUGUGAAAAAUUAAUUCGGAUAAAGUAUUUAACUAUGGUUAACUAAACUUUUCUAACGGAGGGACAUAUCUGAAAAUAUUAGAACUUUUAUAGAAAUAACUUAUACAAAUUUGAACUUUAUAGAGAUACAUCUGUAAUUCACUACGUUUGCGGGGACCUGUAUGCAAUUGGCCCUAAUGAUAAUAAUAAAAACGAGCAGUGGUUCAUGGUGACGUGAUGGACCAAUUUCACAGAACAAAUUUAUGCUCUUUUAUUAAAUUUUGAUAGAAUUGUUUAGUAAAUUAUAAAGUUUUUAAGGGUCUAUUUGCAAAAGAGUCCCUUCCCUUCUCUUUCUCUCCAUAUUUCUCUAGAGCUCUCUCUCUCUCUCUCUCUAAACUCUCUCUCUCUGGUAAACGCUCCCUCUCACAAAACCCUAAUAAUCGAUUUUUAAUCGCAUGUUUUUGCAUCUUUUGAUCCUUUUUUCCGCCAAUUUCCACUCAAUUUUACCCUUAUUUUCGCAGAAUCGAUCAAUCGGAACUAACUAAAACCCUCGUCGUUGAUCUCUUCUUCGACGCUUCUUAGCCCUAGGGAGAGGUGAGGUGUGCGCCAUGGCGCUUCGGCGGCUCCUUGGGAGGAGCUCGAGGAUCCCAAUCGUAUCUAGGGUUUUCGCAUCGUCCGCGGCGCCUUUCUCCGCGGCGGCGUCGCCGAGCGACACGAUCCGAGCCACCCUCUUCCCCGGCGAUGGAAUUGGGCCGGAGAUCGCCGAAUCGGUGAAGCAGGUUCGGAUUUUGAUCCUUUAUUGUCGAAUUUUAUACCUUUUCUUAUCCUUUUGUUCCCCCUUUUUAUACUUUGUUUUGAUGUAGAUUGUUUGAUCUAGAGCUUGCUUGCUUGUAUGAUAUAGGUAAAAAUGCGAGGAGGCCCCUCAACAAUAGGCCAUUAUGAAUAGGCCCCUUAAAAUGUUUUAGGUCGAGACCCCAGCAAAAUUUUAGUUGUUUUGAUUUAUGUGAUUCAGGAUUUGAUUAAAUACGAUGAUGAUUUUGUUAAGUUGAUGAUUUUACCAGUUUUAGCUAAUAGAAAUGUUGAUUUUGAUGCUUAAUGGCUAAUGAAGUCGUAGUUUUGACGAAAUUCCUAAUUCAAAUAAAGGAAUAUCUCAAAUCGAAAUAAUUAGGAGUUAAGAGGGUGCCGAUUGAACAAAAAUAUGUAGUUCGGGUUUUAUUUAAGAAUGGCCUAUAGUUGAGAGGGUCUAUGUACAAUUUUACCUAUUACGUAUGAAGUUGGUUAGCUUACUUUGAUUUCGUAUCCCUGAUUGUAUUAUAGAAACAUUUAGCAUUGCUUUUUGUGAUCAAUUUUAAUUGAAUUAGCUACCUCUAGUUCAAACAAAGGAAUCGGUUUGAUACAAUGCUAAAUUUAGAUUUUUAUUUUUUUCUAUGAAAAGAUUCUGUAUUGAGUGUACAAAUCAAGAGAAUAUGGCGCUCUUUAGAUAUUAAUUUGUUUAGCUGUAUUCUGAUUUCAAUUCUGUCCUUGGAUUUUCAUUUGUAACAAUUUAGUCCCAUAGUUCGAUUUGAUUUCAUUGUUGUCCUUUGACUCGCAAUUCAACAAAGUAAAGUUAAACUUUGAUUCCGACAUUGCACCUUCUUUUUGAUAGGUUACUAACAAGGGGACUUAGUUGUUAACUCGUCAUGCAAAACAACUUUGAGGACUUACUUUCUAUUCAAUCCUUUUACAUAUUAUUUGUGUUACUGUAGGUUUUUGGUGCAGCACAAGUGCCAAUAGAAUGGGAAGAACAUUAUGUGAGCGACAAAGUUGACCCCAGAACGGAGAGCUUUUUAACAUGGGAAAGUCUUGAAUCGGUGAGGAGAAAUGGCGUGGGCCUGAAGGGCCCCAUGGCUACACCUAUCGGAAAAGGGCACAGGUCCUUGAAUCUCACAUUAAGGAAAGAGCUCGGCCUUUAUGCCAAUGUUAGACCUUGCUCUAGCCUUCCUGGUUAUCGAACUCGGUAUGAUGAUGUGAAUCUCAUCACAAUCCGUGAGAAUACCGAAGGAGAGUAUAGCGGUCUCGAACACCAAGUAAGGAUUUCAAGAACUUUUAUUUUCAGCUGCUUUUCGUAUAAUCCCUUCAAAAUUACCUAUUUACAUUCACUCCUUUAAAGUACCAAUUUAUAUAUGUCCGUAUAAAGUGUAGCUUCUUAUAUUAAUGUUGUUAUCUUAGGUCUGGGAGUCAUUAAAUUCAAGUUCAUUUAGUAUUAGAAAAAAGUUCAGGUUUAAAAUGUACAAACUUGAACUAUAUCCCAUUUCAGAAUGGGUACUUGAAAGUUGAAACUACAAAAAUUUGUAUUUACUCCGUAACCUUCUGGUAUGCUUGAUUUAACUAGCUAUCCUCAAACCUUACGAUGUUUUUAACUUUUUUGGCAGAGUAUUCUGUAACCUAACCACCUUAUAUAUAUAUAUAUAUAGAGAGAGAGAGAGAGAGAGAGAGAGAGAGAGUCUGGCUACUAUACUUUUAUGAGUACGAUCGCCUUCGUACUCAUAAGUCGUUUUCGAUGAUAGAGCUUCCGAAUCGACGAUCCAUACCGUUAAACAUUUUGUAGAGCAUUUAAAACUUCUAGAAAUCAAAUUUCAUAAUUUUUCGACAUCAUUUACCUUACGAUCAAAAGCUCACAAAAUUGACAAUUUUUAACGGCCGGUAUGGAAUACUUGCUAGUUUAACGGUGCAAAAGAAUCUGAAUAGGUUGAAUUUUUGAUAGAAAAUUCUAUUCACUACCUAGAUAAANCUCUCUCUCUCUCUCUCUCUCUCUCUCUCUCUCUCUCUCUAUAUAUAUAUAUAUAUAUAUAUAUAUAUAUAUAUAUAUAUAUAUAUCCACCUCUAUCUCAUAUUCUCACCUUUGGGCGUAAAAUGGCCCCAGAAUUUAUCCGAUUUUUCAUUUUGGUACCCAAAGUUCCUUAUGUUUUCAAACAGGUCCCAAAAAUUUAGGACGAAUUACCCUACCGGUUCCUAAGCUUUUUCUUUCAAAAUAGUAGGUCUCCAGCUUCUUCUCCGAUAUAUGCACACAACUUAAUAAACCUAAUUUCACUAUAGACCUCAAUCUCAUUUUUCACUUCUGUAAUUGUCUCGACCUCACAUUAUGACCAACUGAACCCAGUCUCAUCUCAUGCCUUAAUUUUAUUUUCCACAUUUAUGACUGUCUCGAUCUCGUGUCGUGAAGAGCGAAGCCAAAUCCAACCACUAGCCUCCAUCUCAUCGUUCGCAUCUGUGACGGCAUCGACCUUGCAGAUGAUGUAUGUUGUCUUUUUUGGAGCAAC
rnacentral:lncRNA from 1 species